AGCCAACACAAUCCAAAAUACGAGUAAGUUUUUUAUCGCAGAGACCGUGGAGGCAAGCUCCCCGGUCGACGAAAGUCGCUUGAUUUUCUUCAACAUUCGGCACCCGUUUUCAUGUCUAGGCUGCCAGACGCAAAGUGACAUCUCCACUCUUGGACCAUGGAUGUACACAGUUUUGGUGUGGAGCCCAUCACCUGCCACACAUGGAACAAGGAUCGUACAGAGGUGGCACUGUGCCCCAACAACGCGGAUGUGCAACUCUACAAGCGAGAGGCGGGCGGAGGAUGGUCUCCGGGGCAGACACUCAGCCGGCACGACCUGCGAGUGACUAGCAUCGACUGGGCCCCACGGAGUAACCGCAUUGUGACGUGUUCUGCAGACCGCAAUGCGUACGUCUGGACUCUGGGCUCGGAGGAGCCUGGUACCAACGCCACGGUGUGGACCCCCACCUUGGUGCUGCUGCGAAUCAACCGUGCUGCCACCUGUGUUCGGUGGUCGCCCCUUGAGAACAAGUUUGCCGUGGGGUCGGGUGCCAAGCUGGUGUCAGUGUGCUACUUUGAGAAGGACCACAACUGGUGGGUGAGCAAGCACAUCAAGAAGCCCAUCAAGUCAACUGUCACCUCGGUCGACUGGCACCCCAACAACUGCCUGCUUGCCUGCGGCUCCACCGACUUCCGCACCAGGGUGUUCUCUGCAUACAUCAAGGAGGUGGACACUGCUCCUGAGCCGACACCCUGGAACGACAAGACCACCUCGUUUGGCAGUCUAGUGGCUGAACUGUCUGCCAGUGGCAUUGGCUGGGUGCACUCGGUGUGCUUCUCGGGGGAUGGCACCCGGUUGGCCUGGGUUGGCCACGACUCGAGCGUGUGCGUCGCGGAUGCCCAGCGGGGGCAGGCCAUCACUUGCGUGCGCACCCCAUACCUGCCAUUCCUCUCCUGUCUCUGGAUCUCUCCCACGAGGCUGCUGGUGGCCGGUUAUGACUGCUACCCCAUGGUGUACGAGUACAGCAAUGGCCAGCUAAGCUUUGUUGACAAACUGGACAAAUCGCAGCGCAAGGAAGGUGGAUGGUGUCAGUGCCAUGCGCAAGUUCCUCAACAUGGACAAGCAUGCGAUGGAGAGCCGGGGUGACACCCUGCUGGACACGGCACACCAGAAUGCCAUCACCCUGGUGACACUGGUGCAGGGCGAGCGGGACAAUGCAUCACGUGUCUGCACCCAGGGCAUGGAUGGCAGGCUCAUCCUGUGGGACCUGAAGACUCUGCAGUCCUCCAUGGCAGGCAUGCGCAUUGUCUGACCUUCGGUCAUCGCAGUAGCUGACCAAGAAUGUGGCCGGAAUGGUCCACUCUACCGGUCUAAUGUUGGCAAAGGACAGGAAGUGUGCGCGUGACCCUGCCGGAAAGGCGGAGGGCGGACAGCGACACCCUUGUGGUCCACGACAGUGAGGCAGUGUCUUCCAUGCGGACGACAAGCCAAACCAGACAGCUUCCAUGCAGACACGCUUCUGCCCAAGACACCUGCAUCAAGGGAGGGCUGUGUUGUUGAGUUCUUUUUUUUUUUUUAAUCGGUAACUUAAUGAGAACAUUGUUUACUGAAACGAUUUGUGCUGUUGGUGACUGUUGUCUGUGAGUUCUUUUUUUCCAUCCCUUCUUUGCUUUUUUUUUUUCCCACUAGAGUAUGUUUUGAACGCUCACUAAUCUAGUUGUUUCCUUCACCAUCUUCCCGGUGUAUGCAAGAUAAUUUGUGGGAAUUGUGUGAAGGACACACUCCUCCAAUUUUAUGAAAACUGUUUUUGCAGUUUCAAACAUUUGGAUCCAGCAAGUGCAGAAAAAGUGCAAGCAGUAUGCUAGUACUGUUCCCCCUCUUUGUUAUUUGUAGGCUAAAAUUCGAUGCUGUUUGUGAUAUUGAAUAAAUAAGUAGUAAGUACCACAAAAAAAGACAAUUGCAUGUUAUAACAGAAAGAAAGGGGCCUAAGAUAUGGUCUGAGCAGUGUUAGUGCUGGCAAAAUAUUUUGUAAAAACUGUUACAGCCAGGCUAUUCUCUGUGUGUCAUGUAUGCCCCCACUGUUCCAGGAUGGAUUCUUAAGUGUGCAUUCCAGAGUACCCUAAUCCAAAUCUCAUUGCGAAAAGUGUUUUAAUCAUAGCAAAAAUUCUUACUGGGUAUCUAGUGCUGGAAACAAUGUUAACAUUUAUGUGGUUACUGAAACAAUAUGUGUGUCAUUUUUGCUACAGCUUUGUGCAGAUGUUUGCAUUUGAUGGCCAUUUUAACCCCCAAAUGAAUUCCAGAAAAAUGAACCAAGUUUCCAAAACUUUUUUUAUGUUGUCAUAAUUUUUUCUGUGUCAUUCUGAUUCUGAAAAUGCAUUGCUUGAUUGGUUUCUGGCUGGAAUUAACACAAUCAUUUAAAAAAAAAAAAGCUGCUCUUGAGGCUAACUUUUCCUAAAUGCCGACUGUAACUCGUCUUUGGCAGUGGGAGCAGCACAAUGUCGAGGCUGAACGAGUCUGACUUUUCAUUGGUGAUACUGGUACAACCUCUCGUGAUGAGUACAGCUUGGGAUUGGGGGUUAAAGGUUUAAUGAGUUCUAUGGAGGCACUAAGGACAGUACAUUUUGCAAUGAAGCAGAAUGUUUCAUGCCAGUGUUCUAAUGUGCCAUGAUUAGACAUUUUAAGAUGAUGCAGAAGCAGCAUAGCGUUUCUUGAAACUCCAAUUGAACCAUAUGUUGCAGAGCAAGGUGAGAUUGCUACGAAGUGGGCAAGUUCUUCCUGAUGGAGGAGCUUGCUGAGGAAUCCGUGACAUAAUAGCAAAUCGGCAGGCUGCCUUCCAAUAAAAUGCAUAGAAUGAUCGAGAUGAAGGAGCAGACAAAAUAAGACAAAUUGCUGUUAGAAAAUCUGGAAAAUGCAGUUCUAGACAGCUGCAUCAGGAACUCCUGUACCAAGAUUGAUUAGAAAAAGAGAGGUGUGCUGGCUGAAAGCCACUGCCUCCCAAUUCUCGUGUGGCUGCCUUUAAAAAGAACAGGACCUCAGUUGUCUGAUGCAAUGCUCUGUCUUGCCAUCAAUUCACGUCUGCUACCUGCCAGCAUCACAAAGCAAAUGGCACCCUGGGCAGAGGUAAUGUAGCAAUUUUGAUUUUUCCUUUUUGUUUUUUGCCAAUGGUCCAAGUGACACUCCACCUAUGUUAUUACCAAGAUCAGUCGGUUGUGAGCAGUGAGUGACAAGAAAGGAAUAGAAUCGCAUAAGAGGAGCUCUUACAUUAUACUGGUCCAGGUUAAUCGGACUUUCUUUAAUUAUGAAUGUAGAUUGGUUACCACAACUUGUCGAUAUCGCAACGUGAUGCACCAUCUGCAGUAGUAUAAAUUGGCAACUGGCACUGUUGUGUGAAUCCACCGUUAAGCAAUCAGUGGAGAGCACAAAUCUGCUGUAAACCAAACAGUGUGAAAUGUAUCUGGGUGUAUGGAACAAAAGAGCGUGCACUAGAUGAACCAUUUGAAUUCAUUAAAUCACUUCAAAGUUCACAGUAAGCAUGUGGAAUUGCAGGCUUUCUUUCAUUCCUUCCUUAUUUAGUAUCAAGUGAAAAGGUUGUGUGAACAUUCGCCCAGGGCUGGCUUUUGGUCUGGUGUUUGCCUUGCUUAUGGCUUUUUAUGUUGACAUCUCUAGUUUUGUGAUCAAAUUAUAGGCUCGCUUGGUGCUUUGAUGCAUUGUAGUUGGACAUGUAAUUCAUUGCAGUUUGAGUGGCACCGAUUGCUUAAACUGUCAUCACAUGCUUCGUGAUUGGACACUUCCCUCAACUGUGGAACUGAUAACAUUUAUGCUUUUUCUUACUAGUUCUGCUCAGAAAUGCAAAAGUAAAACACGCAAACAGUAAUGUAUAUCCUUGCACAGAUUUACUGCAGCAAAGUACACAGUGGUGUCAGUGCAAGGCAUCUGUCAUUAGGAUAUAUGUAUAUAUGCUGUGGGGAUGAUCUUGCAUAUUGGACAUGAAAAACUAAUAACAGAAUAUACAUGUAUAGAGCGUUGCUCAGCACUGGGAGAGAAUGUAGCUUCUACUUAUUCUGCUGGGAAAAAUGAUGCUUUGAAGCAGUCUAUGAGAACCAGACAUCUGAAGAACAUAUAUCAAACUUGAACGUAGGACAUGCAUGAUAAAAAACAGAUUGUCAAUCAUUCAUAAAUUGUAGAGAGCAAUUUGCGUAGCUCCGAUGUGUUGUUCUUGACAUGAAAACACAAGUGACAUGUUCACCUCUGCAAUCUUUUUCAAAACAGUAGCAGUAUCUUGUACAAUAUAGCAGUCAUUGACACAAAUUCAUAGAAGUGGAAUGGCACUCGGAAACUUCCUCACUAGUGCCAUGUCACAUUCAAUUUGAGGACUUUUGUCAAAGUUUACUUCCCCUGGAUCACUAUUUCAUGAAGUGUGCUCAAGUAUGUGUACGUUGCUAGGGCUAGUCUAGAAUUAGCUGUCACAUCAAGACAUAAGAGAGCAGGAUUACUGCUGGCCAUCAUCCGCGGUGCAUUUUUUGCAGCAACACUAAUAUGUGUCCUAUAGGACUGCUGUACGACUUUAAGUAACAUAAUACAACAUAAACAUUUGAUGGGUUUGUCACAUCUGGGGUCGCAUUCUUGUGUGAUCACUUUUGGUAAUAGUAUCACUUUCGCAACGUUUUGCAAGAAUCUGCGCUGGUUGUGGGCAGGGCAAACACGCAAAAGGAGCUCUCAUUGGCACUUGUGGGCUGAGUCUCUCAAAAUCUUGCGAAAGUGACACUAUCGUUGAAAGUGAUCGCCAGAGAAUAUGCCCCCGGGUGAUUGUAUAGUUUGAUGCAUUCUCAAGGGCUGCAACUUCAUUUUUAUGCAUGACAUGAAGCGUGCAUCGUGAUGGAAGCUGUGUUGUAACUGUGCAAUGUGUAGCAGCUGGCAUUUGCCCAGCUAAUAUUAAAUCAAAUUGUCACAUUUUCUCGCCUGUUAUAGACGCUUGAGAUGACUACAGCUCUUCUGGCAUCAGAGGAUUCUCAGCAAUACCCUCGUCUCUUUCGUCGUUUUGUAUUGCACUGCAGAUUAUGGCUACAUUCUUAUAUUUUGUACGGUCGAUGGUUUUCUUUUGUCACGACAGUACUUGUUAUUGUGGGCAUUUCCUUCUCCUAUCACUCUGUGCCCAGCAUGGACAAAACAGUAGAAGGCCAGCUGCAGCUUUGGAAGAUCACUGCUUGGUUAUUCUUUAUCUUGGGUUUCUGUGGCCUCCGUGCCUUUAAAGCUGCUGGUUGGUUGGUUGGCUGGUUGAUCCUCAGUGCAAUUAACUCUGGGAGAUUGGCCAAGAACCACAUGGUAAAAGCACCCAAAAGUGAUACAAAUUUUGAGAAUGAAGCAGGAAUUCUGGAUAUAGAGUUAUCUGAUGCAGAUCUGCAUUUAAUAAAUAAAUAUUACUGUAAGGGAAGAUGUGAAUAAAGAUGGGAAGUUGGGAGAGUUGGUGACUAAUCAUCAUACCAUGUGGGUGAAGCAGCGCACUGACCAAGACAAGGCGGAGUGCGUCGUGCAUUCUAGUCUCUCCGCCUUGUCCUGGUCAGUGCGCUGCUUCAACCCACAUAGUAUGAUGAGCAGGGAAUAAGAGGAAAAUAAAAUUUAGGAUGAAAUAGUUCCUGUCUCGCAUAGGGAAUAGAAUAUGGCGAACUUCGCACCAUGCUAGUGUUUCAUCCUUACCCGCCGUGGUUGCUCAGUGGCUAUGGUGUUGGGCUGCUGAGCACGAGGUCGCGGGAUCGAAUCCCGGCCAUGGCGGCCACAUUUCAAUGGGGGCGAAAUGCGAAAACACCCGUGUGCUUAGAUUUACGUGCAAGUUAAAGAACCCCAGGUGGUCCAAAUUUCCGGAGUCCCCCACUACGGCGUGCCUCAUAAUCAGAUCGUGGUUUUUGCACGUAAAACCCCAUAAUUUAAAAAAAAAUUGUUUCAUCCUUGUACUCCACUUUUGUGUUUUCUCUAGUGUAAUUUUCAGUCUGGAGAUGAUGUUUCGACAUGACCUAUUAAAAAUGCAGUCUGUCUUUUUUGUUUAAGCACAGGUGUUUGGUUGUAAUGAUAAUUAAAUUUUAUGAGUCACUGCCACCAGUUUCCGUUUGACAUGUGAAUGGUGCGAGUUACAUUUGGUGGCAUGGCAUAGUGGCCAAGACAUCGUCAUUUUGACUUGCAUCAUUGUGGUUUGAACACAACAACUGCAAUUGCACUUAGCUUUUUAUUUUUUUAACUAGAUUGUGUGACAAUCUAUGCUGCAUUUGGUCAAGAUCACAUUAUAAAUAUAGCUUGCUAAAGGAAAUGCCCACAGGAAUAGUGAUUGUUGUGCGACAUCAGUGAACCUCAAUAGGUUUAAAAUGUUAGGAAAAAUUGUUGACAUUUCAGGCAGUUUCCUCGUCGCUGUAGACAUUCCGAAUCCAAACUGCUCCAUUAGUAUGCAUGUGGUAAGCAACUGAAGUUGUGAGCUGUUAACGUAUGGCCAAGGUGUCGCUAGAACAGUUCUUGCGAAAUAAGGCAAGUGCGAAGCAUACUGCAGUAGCUUGUAAGUGAACACAUUGCUUCAGCACAUUAUUUUUGUGAAACAGCAAACUUUGGCUAUAAAGUGCUAGCUUGCACAGUCUAUGAACUUGUAAAUUACAUGCACUGCUACGCUGUUGAAAGCUGACUACCAUGGCGACGUAUGCUGUCAAAGCUUUACUGUUCGUGGCAUAAAUUGUUGAGAGUGUCGCUGAGGCUUCAGACUUGAAAUGGUUGGCUGUGAGAACAGCCAAAUUGCUUAUUUAUUCUUCCAGGUGUUCUGCAUCUGUGAUUCUUUGUGCACUGUUUAAAACUGCAUCUCGGAUGUUUUGAUGGUCGUACCUCCAAGCUGGACACCUUGGUCUCGAGGUUGUAAGAUAAUGACAAAUAAACAACACAUGCCUUUCUU